GACGAACGCUGGCGGCGGGCUUAACACAUGCAAGUCGAACGGAAAGGCCCUGCUUGUGUGGGGUGUCAGAGGGGCGAAGGGGUGAGUAACAUGUGAGUAACCUGGCCUGGGCUUGGGGAUAACUGGAGGAAAGUGGUGCUAAUACCGGAGAGGAGCGCCUGCUGCAUGGGGGGGGUCGGAAAGUUUCGGCGGUUGGGGAUGGAUUGGCGGCUUACUAGCUUGUUGGUGGGGUAGUGGCUUACGAAGGCUUUGAUGGGUAGCCGGACUGAGAGGGUGACCCGCGACAUUGGGACUGAGAUACGGCCGCGACUCGUAAGAGAGGCAGCAGUGCGGAAUAUUGCACCAUGGGCGGAAGCCUGAUGAAGCAACGCCGCGUGCUGGAUAACGGCCUUCGGGUUGUAAAACGCUUUCGCCUGUGACCCAGCGUGAGUGACGGUAAUCGGUAGAGAGACACCGGGUAAAUACGUG
rnacentral:rRNA from 1 species